rnacentral:lncRNA from 1 species
GCGCCCUCCUCCACCACGAUUUCAUGUACACUCUUUCUGUAAGACACUAACAGCAUCCGAUACAAGCACUCAUGGUGGAUUUUCCGUCUUGAGACGGCAUGCUGAUGAAUGUCUCCCCCCACUGUUUAGAAGAAUUCAGUUAUUAUGGGUUCGUUGUCCAUUUUUUGGGUAAAUGGAUUGGCUUAUAGUUUUUAAUUUGCAUCUGUAACAGGAUAUGUCUCGACAGCCUCCAACACAGGAGUUGGUGGCCAAGGAUUUACAUGGGAAUGAGUGGCGCUUCAGGCAUAUAUUCCGCGGUAUGAUGCAUAGUAUAUUCUUAAUCAUCUUAUGUCUACAAAGCUUACCACCUCCACCCUGUUUGGUCAAUUUAUGCCCUUUGAGACUUUUUAGACAAUGUAAGAUGCACUUUCACAUAGCGCAUUUCUACCUAUCAAGUCCUAUUGACGGUAUAACAUGCCCGCUGCAUUCUUGUAAUCACACGUCCUAAUGAAAAUUGCUAUAAGUCUGUGUGGCACAUGUAAAAAUGUUAAGCAGAUGAUUUGAUAGGGAGUGUGAAGGGGGAGGGGAGAAGUUGGUUAACAAAUUUCUGCUUCUGUAAUUAUAGACCGAGGUUGUAAACUUUCUCUUUCCCUUUUCUUCAUAUAAAGAUUUGUCUUUGGAAGUAUGGUAGCAUGUUGCUUUAUUUUUGGUGCACUGAAAUGCCUUUGUUGGAAGGGUGGGCUUGUUUGUCCUGCUAUAUGACCUCUUCUUUGUUUCUCACCCAAGCAUUUGAACUCCAGGCCAACCAAGGAGGCAUCUUCUUCAGAGUGGUUGGAGUGUCUUCGUUAGUUCAAAAAGGCUUGUUGCUGGGGAUGCAUUCAUAUUUCUUAGGUUCGUCUGGCAGAACCCUCUGAAUUUAUUUGUUCCAUUAAGUAGAGUCUGAUCUGUUGCAUUGUGCUACCUUAGAGGUGAGAAUGGGGAGCUUCGUGUUGGAGUUAGACGUGCCAUGAGACAACAGGGAAAUGCUCCAUCAUCGGUGAUAUCAAGUCAUAGCAUGCAUCUCGGUGUACUCGCGACAGCUUGGCAUGCCAUUCAAACAAAAACAAUGUUCACCGUGUAUUACAAACCAAGGUACCUGGUCUGUAACAUCAAACAAAGCACCGACUUGAAGGCCAUAACUAGAGAUCUUUGAUUAUUAGUUGUAGAGUUAAACGCUACAUUUAGUCUUGUUGUUUCAUUGCUUGUCAUCUGUGCAUUUGGGAAAGCAUUUUAUCUAAAUUGGUUGCCAUCUAAAAUAACUGGAUGCUUCAUAUCUUUGAUGGCACCUAACAAUCAGAUGAAUUGCAGUUUUUUAAAGUUCAUUCAUGGGGGAUAGCAGGGUGAUAUGUAGGUUUUUGAACUGUUGUUGGUGUAACACUGACAAAAGGAUUAGCAUUCCUUACCAACUUAGUUUGCAUCUUACAGGACAAGCCCUACCGAGUUUAUAGUUCCAUAUGACCAGUACAUGGAGUCCGUGAAAAACAAUUACUCCAUUGGAAUGCGGUUUAAGAUGAGAUUUGAAGGUGAAGAAGCUCCAGAGCAGAGGUAUGCUGCAGUUUAGUUUACCAUCUAUAGAGAUCAUCUUUUUACUAUUUAAAUAUCUGACUUACUGGUUCUAAUCUUGACCUCUGUGUGUUACGGUUAAAUUAUUAGAAUGUUUGAUUCAAUUUUCUGUAACAGGGUAUUUUCUCUUCACUUCUCUGAUUUAGUUAACUUACAAUGUUAUAGGUUUACUGGAACUAUAGUUGGCACGGAAGAUUCUGAUCCCAAAAGGUGGCCCGAGUCCAAGUGGAGAUGUCUGAAGGUAGUAUUCAUUUUAAUUUCGUGGUUUGAUUGUUUCUUUUACCUCAUAUCACACUAAAAAUCAUUCAUUAAUGGUUUUUCAAGGUUCGGUGGGAUGAAAAUUCUACCAUUCCCAGGCCAGACCAAGUUUCGCCCUGGAAAAUAGAGCCAGCUCUUAGCCCUCCUGCACUUAAUGCACCUCCAAUUGCAAGGCCAAAAAGGCCUAG